AAAAAAGAAAGAAUAAAUUAGGGCAUACUUUAUAGAGUGAGUUGUUAGAUAUUAACUAUUUAGAAAAUUAGUUCUGCCAGCAGCAAAUGGUAAUGGAAUUGGGGUUGAUGAUAUAAUUAAAAAGUGGGAAAUAAUGCAGGUGAAGUUUAAGCUACUGUUUGAGAUAUUGCUAUAUUCUGUUUUCUUAAUGCACAUAGAAACAUAGUUAACCUAAAAGUGGUUUGAUACUUAAUAUUAACAGCAUUUUGCACUGUGUGUAAUUUUGUAAAGCAUUUCUCUAAAUUCUGGAGCUAGGAGUAAAGUAAAUUUGCAUUAUGUAUAUUUUGUAAAGCAUUUCUAAGUUCUAGGACUGGGAGAAAAACUGACAGGUUUGUGGGGGAAAUGUAGAAAGGUAAAGGAAUGUAGGAAGAAGUGAAAUUUUUUUAAAAUCAAGAGUAUUAUGUGCAGCUUUGUUGUUUGUAAAAAUAUCUGGUUUGAAAUCUUUAGAAAUCUGGAAAGUGAAUUUUAUGGAGAAAUAAAUGGAACUAUUUCGUAGUGUUUACGUCAAACUAAAAACCCUGCUGUAUAAGAGCAGACACUGUAGUUUUUUUUCCUGCCUCUAUUUUAAAGAGCCAUGCAAUUUGCUCUGUCUUAUAAAUAUUUUGUAUUAAUACCAGGCUUGUUUUCUCUCCAUGCAUUCCUCUAAGCAAGUGGAAAAUUGGUUAAACAUUUGGGUUUCAAAGAAUUUGACUCUUGGAAAGUAAGUAGAAUUUACGUGGGAGUUAAAUCAUGUAUAAGUAAGUAAAGGAUGCUUUCUUUAAUUCACAUAUGUCAGAAAUAUAUUUAAGACACAAAAUUUUAUAUAUUUAUUUAUUUAUUUAUUUGUCUUUUUGUCUUUUUAGGACCACCCCCCCGCAGCAUGUGGAGGUUCCCAGGCUGGGGUCUAAUUGGAGCUAUAGCCGCCGGCCUACACCACAGCCACGCCAGAUCUGAGCCGAGUCUGUGACCUACACCACAGCUAACGGCAACACCCACUGAGCGAGGCCAGGGAUCAAACCUGUGUCCUCAUGGAUGCUAGUCAGACUCAUUUCCACCGAGCCACUACUGGAACUCCUGUGUUUUGGAAAUUUUAUAUAUGGUUACCAGAUCUUUUUAAUAACAUGCAUUGUUUUGUUUUGUUUUCUUUUUUUUUUGGUCUUUUGAGGGCCAAACCCGUGGCAUAUGGAGAUUCCCAGGCUGUCGGUCUAAUCAGAGCUAUAGCCACCAGCCUGUGCCAGAGCCACAGCAACACCAGAUCUGAGCCACAUCUGCGACCUCCACCACAGCUCACAGCAAUGCCAGAUCCUUAACCCACUGAAUGAGGCCAGGGAUUGAACCCGCAACCUCAUGGUUCCUAGUCAGAUUCGUUUCUGCUGUGCCACGGUGGGAACUCCACAUAAAUUUUUUUCUAAUUUUAAAAUGGUCAUGUUGGAAGAUUUAGAAACAUCUAAUUUUAGAUAAAUUUCUAGAAAUGGAAUUGUUAAUGAUUUAAAAGAUAAUGGACUUCUGGAGUUCUUCUUUUGGCUCAGCAGAUUAUGAGCCCAACUAGUAUCCAUGAGAAUUCGGGUUUGAUCCUCGGCCUUGCUCAAUGGGCUAAGGAUCCAGUAUUGCCGCAAGCUGCAGCGUGGAUCGCAAAUGCGGCUCAGAUCUGGCAUUGCUAUGGCUGUGGCAUAGGCCAGAAGGUGCGGCUUUGAUUCACUCCCUGGCCUGGGUACUUCAUUUGCCACAGGUGCAGCCCUAAAAAGCCCUAAAAAGCAAAGAAAUAAAAGAUACGGGCUUUUUAAGUUCUCGAUAUAUAGCUUUCAAGUUCCCUUUGAAGUUAAAACUUGCCCUUUAGUUCAUCAGCAGAGUGCUUUCUUUGGUUUAUGCUAAUCUAAUCUACACGAAUGCCAAUUAGAUAACUGAAGAGCUGUAGUUUAUUGUCUUCAUUUGUACCUUUUUUUGGGGGGGGUACCUUCUGACUGAACUUUUUUUCCUGUGUUUAUUAUGUUUAUUAAUUAGUUUGGGGUUCUCUUUGUUACUCUCCUCUGUACAGUUUUCAGUUUUAUUGUGUAGAGAUACUAUAUUUACAUGUUAUUGAUUAAUUCGUACACAGUGUUCUGCUUUCAGUUAGAGUGGCAUGGUGGUGCUCGGCUUGCAGCUCCUUUCCCCUCCCACACCUCAUCUCCGUCUCCCUGUCUUCCCAUCACAUUAAAUUUCCGAUAUUAAGAAAGUAUUAGCUCAGACAAACCUUUGGUCAAGUGUACAUAAAGGCAAGAAAUGAAAGGUUGGGUAAGAAGGAUUGUAAAUUAUCCCUUACCUAAUUGUUCUAGCGCUGAGUGUUUUAUGGAGCUGUCUUCAGACUGUAAUUAAAUGGACAAAGCAUCUUUGCAGAGAUGAUGAUCUUAAAAGAUUUUUCCCCUAAUUUUCUUUUGUUAAAUUUAACGUGUACUUCUGAAAAGUUGCCAGUAAACAUUUAAGUUAUGUUGGCUUUAACUCUCCAUUUGGUGAGAGCCAGUGUAUCAGAUUUGUUGAGUUGAAUGAAAGAGGAAAGAAGACUAAAAUUAAACACUUUGUUGUCUCUGUCUCUCAUAAGGGAGAUUUGAGUAUCAGCCUGUCACUCUGAGUCUAUGUAUUUCCUUUUAGAAGCUGUUCAUAUUUUUUCUUUAAAUUAAUCUUUGUAAUUAUUAAUAACAGGAGCUUAAGAUACUGUGUAAUAACGUAUAUGGGGAAAGAAUCUGAAAAAGAACAGAUAUGUAUCUGUGUAACUGAUUUACUUUGCUGUACAUCUGAAACUAACACAACUAACUAUACUCCAAUAAAAUUUAUUUUAAAAAAAUAACAGCUUAUGGCAAAAUUUGUCAUCAUGGAGGUCAUAAUAGCAAAAGAAGGAAUUCUGAAUGUAAUCAAUAUAGUUCAUUAUAAACUAAGUUUAAGGAAAGUAAAUACGUAAAAGUUUAAGGGGAAAAAGUAGGGGAACAAAUUCACUAACAGUUUACAAAAGACCAAAUUAAACUUUUUUCUUUUGUAAAUUAAGCUGUCUUUAGUGAGAACUCUAAACCACAUAUUUCAGAAGGAUAUUUGUCAUGAUUUCAUCAUGAAUAAAAUAGAAAAAUAUAGACUGGGUGAGAGAGUAUUAAGUGAGUUUUAGCUGAUCAGUAGUGCCCAGGGAAUAUCAGAUAAGGUCAUCCUACAAGUUCUUGUUCUUUUUAAUUUUAUUUUAAAAAACCAUUGUGUUGAAAGAAGCUGUAUAAAGCAGGUUCAUGAAAUUUACAAGCUGAUUGGAAUAGCUGCUACCUCAAAUAGCAGAAAAUGAUUUCCAUACUACCUAAAUAGAUUAAAAGGACUUUCAGAAACCAACAUAAAGUCAACAUGAAAGUCUAGUUUUGAUGAAGAUUCCAGUGAAAACAAUCUGAGAGCUUCAGAUUGAUUAUAAAUACAAAUUAAUGAAUUAAGCACGGUUUUUUUAAAAAUAAUAAAUGAUCUCUCCUCUGCUCCAGGUUCUGUGUUCUGAGUCCUAGAACCUGUGAAUGUUUUCUUGCAUGGCAAAAGAGACUUUGCAGAUGAGAUUAGAGGUCUUGAGUUGGGUUAAUUAUCCUGCAACAACCAAAUGAAUGCAGUGUAACCCCAAGGGUCCUUGCAUGAGAAAGGCAGGAGAGUCUGAGAAAGUGAUGUGACAGUGGAAGCGGAGAUUAGGAAGAAGAAGAUGCUGCCAGCUUUGAAGAUGGAAGAAGCAGCUGUGAGCCAAAGGAAUUUAGGCACCCUGUAGAAGCUGGAAAAGACAAGAAAUAAAUUUUGACCUAGAACACCCAUAAUGAAGGCAGCCCUGCCAACAACUUGAUUUCAGACUAGUGAAAUUCUGACCUCCAGAAGUGUUUUAAGUUACUGAGUUUUUGAUAAUAUGUUACUUCACGAAUAAGAAACUAACGCAAAAGACAGUCCACUGGAUUCCAUAGGAAUGUAUCUGGACCCUGUUUAUUUGGGGAUAUCUUACUUGAAAUAGCCAGGAAAGUUGUUAGGUCUAGUCAUUUACCUAAUAGUAGAAGAUAAGAGAGAGGGAGACAUGCUUUAAAUAUCUUAUCAAAAGAAAGAUCGCUAUUGUUCUGUGCUCCAGAGGCAGAACUAGAACAGGACGGGGAAGGUUAUCAGAAGGGAGAUUUGGGGUCAGUACAAAGAAGAGUGCCCUACCAUAGGAGCUGUUUAGUUAAGAGUUACUAAGCCUGACUAUUAUGGAGUCUUCCAGAUAUGUUGUGAAAACAGUUCUGACCUUGUUAUCAGUACUGGAUUAGGUACUAAGAUACUGUGCAGCUUUAAAAUUCUUUGAUAUGCUACAUUUUCAAUAUAGAAAAGAUUUCUCUGAAUGCAGCACUUGAAUAGCAUAUGUAAUGCAAAAAAGAUACUGUGGUAAGCCAUAAUAAAAAAUUAAACUCCAGGUGUGCGUGCCAAGAUUCCCAGAGCAUUUACUGAGCCCUUUAUAUGUCAGGUACCAGGCUAAUAAGAGAUUUAUGUAUGUUAUCUCAUUUAAUCCUAACAACCGUUUGAGGUGAAGUGAGUACUAUUAAUCCUUUUUCAGAUUUCAGAAAUCCUUGAAAUUUAGAAAAGGUUAACUAGUCAAAGUUUACACUGUUGGUAAAUGGCAGAGUGUCAUUACUUUGACUAACCCCCAAACACUGAAUUCUGCAGGUGUCAUGGGCCAAAUAUGCUCGUUCCUUAUUUUCCUUUGAAACUAUUCUUUGUUGAUAUAAGGGAUCAUGAUGAGUAAUUCUUCAGAAUUUUUAGAAUACUUUGUAUAACAGGCACCCAGUAGGGCAUUGUUCAUAUUUAGACUUUCUAAUUGUCAUUCAGCUAGUGACAGCAAAAAGACAAACUGUUGUCAACUGUUGCUGGCAAGUAUGUUUUUCUUACCGAGGCUUUCUAAGGAGGUUUUGUACCUUUUGGGGCCUAUUGCUGCUAUUAUUCUAUAGAAGAGAAUUGGAUGGUUUCUCUGCUGCUUUUAUAUGUUUGUUUUCAUUGACAGAUUACAUUGUGAAUACAGAGCUGUGAUAGCAGGGAGAGUGCUGCACCUAUUGAUGUUUAUCGAGCUGUUGCAGAUGAUAUACCUGUCAUUCCAUAUACACAAACUAAUUUGAUCUUGCUAGUAAAUAUCUUUAAUUUCUGGUGUUCUUCCUGGUGUUCAUUUAUGCGGCCCCCUUCUCUGUACCACAUUGAAGUUUCUGGUAUAGGCUAGUUAAUUGUAUGUUCCUGGUUCCCUUCUUACUCAUCCUCAUGGCUUUGAUUCUGUGACCUUUCAUUUUCUAGCCUGGACCUCUCUUUGUUCAAGAUCCGUAUUCCAGUCUCUGCUGAAUCUCUGCCUAGAUAUUCAGUAGGCAUCCCAAAUUAAAUUCAGUAUGUCUCAUCAUUAUCCGUGAAUCAAUACAUUGUACAUAUAGACAGGCACAGAUAUUUUGUCGGUAUUCCCCAUCGUAGUUAAUGGUCUCUGCAUUAUUUAGUCAAUAAGCAGCAUUCUAUAAUGCGAGUAUGUUAUUAAAAACAAAAUAAUGAGCUUGAAAAACAAAAAAUUCUAGUCCAGACCCAUUUGCUGGGCAUCACCCCAAAACAGAUGUAUCGCCUUGGGGUAUCAUCUCAAAAUAGGUGUAACAAUCUGUAUUAGUUGUUAAUAUGAUUAAAUGAAAUAAUGCACCAUCAAACUUAAUUCUUCCUUGUACAUAGGCACUCAGUGCUGUUUCCUUCCUCUUCUGAGUUAUACCUUCUUUCAUGGAAUAAAUGCCCUUCUCUCUCUCUCUCUGUAAUGGCUGUGCCUGUGGCAUAUUUAAGUUCCUGGGACAGGAAUCUAAUCAGACAGAGCUGCAGCUGUGUUGCCAGGCCAGUGCCUCUGGAGCCAUCAGAGCCAUUGCAGUCAGGUUCUUAACCCAGUGUGCCACAGUGGGAACUCCUCUGUCUCUUAGAUGGUAACACUUGAAGACUCUCCUGCUGGUCUGUUGCCUAAAUGAUGGUUAUACUACUGUAUGAUAUAGCCUGUAUUUAAAUUUUAAAUAAAUUAUGAUUUAAAUAUAGACUGUGGAGUGUUUCACCAGAAACACUGGUCUGGGAGUUCCCAUUGUGUCUCAGCGGAAAUGAAUCUGACUAGCAUCCAUGAGGACGUGGGGUCGAUCCCUGGCCUCAGUCAGUGGGUGAUGGAUCCAGUGUUGCUAUGGCUGUGGUAUAGGUCAGAAGCUGCAGCUCUGAUUCGACCCUAGCCUGGGAACCUUCCUAUGCCACAGAUGAGGCCCUAACAAGACCAAAAACAAAAAAACAGAUACACUGGUUUGUCUUGUGUGCUCAAUUGGCUGUUUUUUAAUACAGGAAGUAUAUAAACUUUUUUGCCUUCCCUUUCUCUUCUUUAGGAAGGAAAUAGAACAGUGAUAAUAAACAACCGUCUCAAUGACUUUUUUAACUUAAGGAUUAUGAGCUUGGGCAGAAUAUACCCUUUUAUUAUAAAAUGUAUGCUUUAUAUUUCAGGCAGUUGUUGAUAUUUUUAAAAUUUGUAUUGAAGUUGAAAUAUUUCAGAUUGUUUCUUAGUUUCUCAUUGGCUUAUACAAUUUCAAAGAGUAUUGUUUUUCAAUGAGCAUUUUUUCUCAAGGAGAAUUUUUAUUUUGUUGGUAAAUAAAAUAAUCAUGACCGUAUUUGUUUAGAUUAAUCCCUCUUUAAAAACUGAAUUUCUGGAAUUCCCGUCGUGGAGCAGCGGAAAACGAAUCCGACUAGGAACCUUGAGUUUGAGGGUUCGAUCCCUGGCCUCACUCAGUGGGUUAAGGAGCUGGCGCUGCUAGGAGCUGGCGCUGCUAGGAGCUGUGCUGUAGACCAGCAGCUGUAGCUCCAAUUGAACCCCUAGGCCUGGGAACCUCCAUAUGCCGUGGGUGCGGCCCUAAAAAGAAAAAAACAACUAAUUUCUGUGUUAAUAUCUUUGGGUUUCUCCCACUUUCUGUAUCUUAGUAUUAUUUACAGAAAAAUUCUACCUUUCCUCUUCUUAAACAGAGUACGUAUCUGAUUCUUAUAUUGAUUAUAUUUGGCAUUUAAUACUUUUUCUAAAAUUACUGUUACCAUUAUUUAUAGUCCCAUUAUAUCUGUAGUUUUGAAAAGCUGUAAAAAUUCUCUGUUGCCAGAGAAUUUAAGAUAUGUUACCAGGUAGGCUUGUUUAUUCUGGGAAAAGAGGCUUGUGUUCUUUAGGCUAACCAUUUAGUAGUGGUCUAGUAAAGGUGGUCUGUGUCCUAGGGAUUCCAUCAUUGAAAUAAUAAAAUUAGGGAUUUCCUGUCAUGGCUCAGUGAAAACGAAUCUGACUAGAUUAGCAUCCAUGAGGAUCCAGGUUUGAUCCCUGGCCUCGCUCAAUGGGUUAAAGGAUCCAGCAUUGCUGUGAGCUGUAGUGUAGGUCGCAGAUGUGGGUUGGAUCCCAUGUGGCUGUGGCUGUGUUGUAGGCUGGCAGCUACAGCUCUGAUUUGGCCCCUAGCCUGGGAACCUCCAUAUGCCUCGGGUGCAGCCCUAAGAAGGCAAAAAAAAUGUUUUAAAGUAAUGGAUAUAUGAUACAUAAAGUUGGUAAUGCUCAGGAAGCCGUGGAACUUUAUUUCAGAAUGUAUUUUUAGAAGAGUAUGUAUGUACCUAUGAUUAAAAGAAGACAAAAACAAGGAUUUAAGAAACUAGAUAUAAGCUGCUUAAUUUCAGAAAUGUAUCAUUAUAACCCUCUGUGGGCUCUCAUUAUGUCUUGGUUCAGUUUAAACUUUAGGGGGAAGGAGAAUCCAUGUGUGCUCAAGUCUCAUGGGAGACUUACUGUAGUGAGAUUUAUUAAAUAUGAUGUCAUUUUUAUUCCUGACUAAAUCAAGAAAUUGUGAAUUCGGGAGUUCCUGGCAUGGUGCAGCAGAAACAAAUCCGACUGGGAACCAUGAGGUUUCAUGUUCAAUCUCUGGCCUCACUCAGUGGGUUGAGGAGCUGGCGUUGCUGUGGCUGUGGCCGGCGGCUACAGCUCUGAUUAGACCCUUCGCCUGGCAACCUCCAUAUGCCA
ensembl:lncRNA